CAGCCGCCACGGUAAUACGGAGGGCGCGAGCGUUACCCGGAUUUACUGGGCGUAAAGGGCGUGUAGGCGGCCUGGGGCGUCCCAUGUGAAAGGCCACGGCUCAACCGUGGAGGAGCGUGGGAUACGCUCAGGCUAGAGGGUGGGAGAGGGUGGUGGAAUUCCCGGAGUAGCGGUGAAAUGCGCAGAUACCGGGAGGAACGCCGAUGGCGAAGGCAGCCACCUGGUCCACUUCUGACGCUGAGGCGCGAAAGCGUGGGGAGCAAACCGGAUUAGAUACCCCGGUAGUCCCUGUCUCUUAUAC
rnacentral:rRNA from 1 species